rnacentral:lncRNA from 1 species
GAUCUACUCUACUUUAGAGAAGAGAGGAGAGCUCUCAUCUCUAAACCCUAGCUUUUGCUCUGUCUAUGAAUAAUGAAUAAUGAUCAAGGGGUGCCUCCUCCAGGGGCCAGGGGGUCUGGUUUUAUAGUCCCCUCAAGUGAACCUGGGCCGUCGGAUCAAACCGACAUUGAUUGAACGGUUAUUCUUGAUCCUUUAGGUCGGUGGAGCAUAAUCCGCGAGAUUGAGCAUGAUUGGCCACAGGAGGUGGGCGGGCGCCCAGUAGGACAGGGCGGGCGCCCUGUCUCUGGCCCCGUUUCGCCUCCGCUUCGGUCUCGUGGCUUCUGGAGUCUUCUAGAUGUAAGAUAAUUGUACGGCACGUUGAUAUCUCUAUGAAAUCCCGACGUGUGGGCCUUUCUUCCUUAUUUCCUGAUAACCCCCUACAGAAAUAGACAAACACCAAAACUCGUAGAAUUCUGUCAGAUAAAACCCUAAGUCUUGAUGUUGAUUUCAUUUGGAUCCUUUUCUUUGUUUAUUUGAUAGUUAAAUUUGAUACUUAAGGACCGUCAACAAACUCCCCCAAGCUUACCUCUUGCUCGUCCCUGAGAAAGGAUAGACUCAGCUAUGGAUCAUAAGUUGUUGCAAUAUCUUUAAAAAUUGACGGUACACAUGCUUUUAAAUGAAGUCUCAUCUCUGAGUUAGAAUAAACUGUCAAGACUUAAAACUUACUUACUUUACCUUUCACCAUGGGACUUGUAACCGUCACUUCUGUCUUGAGUGGUUAAAAGAUAGAACAGUCCCGUCAAGUGCCAUGUCUCUUAUUCUUGAUCAGCUAUAGCUCUGGAGUUUUUGUAGAUUUUCAAAUAAAACUCAGAGAUUCCUUUGUAUGACUCUCUCAUAUCUCUCUUUUGUGGUAUUUCUGGAUCCUUACCAAGGCAGUGAUGGUAUAUGCCUUCUCUCAAAAUAUGUGGUAUUUGUGGUAUAAGGCAUAGUGACAUUGCCUUCUCUCUCACCCUACUCUAAUAAGGCUUUAAUAUCUGGAGCUCAUAGGUGGGAGAUAAAGUAUACAUACUUUCAAGACAUGUAUUGCAUAGUCAAACCAUGGAUCCAAAGAAACAAAUCAAUAAGCCAAAUCAAGAUGUGCAUGUGUGGCGAAUGAAUGGUGAUGAUGGUGAUAACAAUGGUGAAAGUCUAAUUCUACUUUUGCUCUUAUGAGGGGACACAUACCUUCCUUGCUUUUUGAAACUUUAUGAGGAGAAUGAGAUGCUCUUCUUUUUCUUUCCUCUCAGGUGGGUAUCUUGUACCCCUAAUUCUACUGUCGGACACUUGUCCAUUUUUACCUCUCGUCUCACUUUUUCUUUCUUUCGAGAUUCCGGGCACUUGCCCCUUUUUAUUUCCUCGUUUAUUCUCUUUUUUUUUUCUUUUCUUCUCUUUUCUUCUUUUUUUUAGAGCACUCAUCUCCUGAAAUAAUGUAGCAAGUGGUAGUAACCAAAAUAACUAGAGCAUUUAUUUCACAGGGAAUAACAGGGAUAGGAAAAUGUUUUUGGUUAUUCUCUCCCGGAUUAGGAGUAGAAUGAUUUUGGGUGAAACUGGAGAUGGAAAUGGAUGGAUAUAUGUGGAUGGUACUUCCGGAGUAGAAGUAGCAUAUAUGAGUGAACGUGCAAGUGAAUCUUGAUUUAACCACAUGACAAGCUCCUAAGGGUCUACACAGCUUGACCACACUCAAUGCUCAUAAGCAGUAAAUAAAUGUGUGGCUCAAAGUCUAGCAAGCAUGUAUACAUGGCUGUGGUAGGAAUUUAAACUUUCAUCAUACAGGAACUCAUCAUGCAAUAUUUUAAAGAUUUUUCAAAGAUAAAAUUCUCCAGAAUUCUAGCAUCUCUAGGAAUAGAUAAACAGCAGCUCAACCUUCCCAUAUCGUAUCCGUUAACAACUUAGACUUUAGAUCAAGUUUUCAUCCCACAAGUUUAGGUCUAGAGCAAGCUUUAAAUUAUAACAGUUAUAUCUAAACUUGAGAGAGAACUUAAAAUUUGCAAAUUAGGCAGAGCAGCUAUUCAUCAUAUCCAUGCUAGAGUUUUAUUAUUAAGAUUCAGAUUAGCAUAGCCACUUUAUUUAUUUAUUAAACACACUAAGCAAAAGAUAUAUAUAUAUAAGCACAAAAUCUUUAUUUGGUUUUUCAUAGUUUAUGUAUUUUAAUAUUAUAAUAUAAUAUAAGUAUAAAGAUAGGUAGAAAUACUUAGCGAGAUAAAUAGGGGUGCUCUCCCCCAAGCUGAAUUUUGACGUAAUUUCUCUUAAUGUAGCUAGCAGGUGGCAGAGGUGUAUUUGAAAGUCAGCAGCAUUCUGACAGCGAUUAGAAUGUCCUCCAUCUGCUAGUCUUCUUGAUUCUUAAAUUCUGUGGAGCUCAAAUAGACAACAAAGCUUGUGGAACUAAUUAAGUGUUAGCAUAAAUAUCUAGCCUUCAUCACGUUGAGCUUCCUCAAUAAAUAUUACUCCCUGUUUUUAUAUUUUUAUUUUAUAAAGUAGAAAAGAAAUAUUUAUUUUAUUUUUAUGCCACCACAGUGAAGGUACUUAUGGGUUUUAUGCCAUUCGUAUACUCAAAUGGGGCUUAGUAUUUUUUUAACAUUUUUAUUUUCUUUUCAAGAUAGCAUGAUUAACUAAUAAUCUAUUUAAGGAAAGUAAAUAAUUAAAUGGAAAAGGGAAUGCAGAAAGGAUAAAUAUGGAUAACUACCAAUCUUACCUUUCGGCGAGGGUUCAAUGUUUUAAGUCUUCUUGUCAAGACUUCUCAUCGUGUUCAUUCUUCAGGUGCGUCAUUUGAUUCAGGUGCGGACCUUGAUGUCUGCACCUUUUAAUACGGUGUCACCCAUGUUCUUCGUUUGCCCAGCAGUUCGAAUUGCGGUGUUAGCAGUAUCUUGCUCAGCGUGUUUGUGCUCGUAGUGUACCUGCUCAUAGAGACAAGGCAGAGAUCAAGUGCAUGGGCCCUGUUGGUGGAAAACACCAACAGAACCAAAAGUGUAUUUGUUCUUCUCUAACCUUAAGCAUAGUGAGCAAGACAAAGUUGAUGGAUAAUAAGUUCAUGAGUGUAGCACUUAUAACAUUUGUCAGAUCAGAUCGCUCAACCUUAUGGAAAGAUAAUCUAUUUAUGUAUAUGUCUUUUUCUUUAUAUCUCUCAAUGAUUGAAUGUGUAAUAUUUUAGCUCAUAUGAUUAGGAGUGUGGGAUCAUGGAGGUAGUACUAAGAACAAGGAUUAAAGGACUAAACAUGUUUAAUCAGAUGGGUUGGUUAAUCUAGAGUUGUAAAUCAUACACGUUUGUCUCUUUUAUUUAUAUGAACGCCAGAACCAAGGAGAAGCUUAUAAAAGUGAUAGUCAAGUACCUUAAGAUGUUACCUUGCUCGAAGAGUGAUGGUACAGUAUCAUCUUGUGGAAGCUUUCCUUUCUUAGCGGUUGUGCGUCGUGUUUGUGGCACCCUCCAUGGAUCAUCUCUCUAUGAUGAAUGAGCUAUGUCCUUCUUGUGCAAAUUGUUAAACUUCAUGUGUCACUCUCUUCUUCUCUGAUGUGAGUUUAUCUCAGGACUUCCCAAAUCGAUAUUGAAAGUUUUUCUGCGGGGGUUAGUCCGACAAAAUAUACCAAUAUCUACUCAAGCAGUUUUUUUUUAGUUCAAUAACCAAACUAGACUCCAUGUCUAAUCAGAUUAAGGAAGGCUAUUUAACCUAAGCACCAUGCUUAAUUUAAAUGCCAAUGGAAGUAUGGCGAGUACUUCCAAACCAACACUUGCUAGUAAAUAGACAAAGGUAGCAUGACAGCGUUUAUAGAGAUCUACUCAAGUGGAGAUGAAGUAGUGUGAUUAGUAUUUAACAAAUUGAGCAUGUCUCAAAGGUAGGGACAACCAGCAUAGCAACAUGGCAAAGGAUGUUUUUAUGUAAAGUACUCCUCCAAGCUUGAAUUUUGCAGAAUUCAAGUUUGGAUGAAUUUAAUUCAGUGUUGCAUGAUGAUUGGUUGGACAUACCUUGUGCUUGUCAUUCAUCCGAUCUUCUUGCUCCAAUCCUAGAAAGGUUAGUGACAAGAAUACCCGAAGGAAUAUUUUUUUUUUACAAUUAUCCUUAUAUGCUCAAUACACAAGGUAAUGUUGCAAAUAAUUAAAAGCUCGUGUUACAAUCUGAUCAAUGCUUAUUUUAAGACACUAAGCUUGUCCUUGGGAAACCAUCAGUUUAUGUUGGCGAAGUGGUUUCCCCUCCGACGCCAACCUAUAUCGAGAUCAACUCAACGAGAUCUGCAAUAUUUAUUAUAGACAUAUGCAUCGACAACCGCCCUUUUAAAGUUUUUAUAAAUAGAAAGGAAGAGGGGGUUGGAGAUCUCAAGUGUGGUGAUGUCGGAGAGACCAAUAGAUUGGGAAGAUGUUGCAUAUGAGCAUGGAGUAAACGAAGUGGCUAUGAAAUAAAUUCCAUGCUCAUUAAUGUUAUCUUCGUCUCUAAUCUGAAUGUUCGGAGUUUCUCCUGGAUUGGUCUCACCUAUGUCCUCUUCUGUAGUUGGAUGAAUCUCAUCUUCAAAGGGAGUCAAGAACUCACCAUUUGAAAUUGAGCCAAAGUCAGAACCCAUUAAGGCUUCUUCCUUAUCCAUCCAUUCUACACAUUCUAGCCAUUUAGAACUUGUGAUCAUGGAAGGGGAGUAGAUAGAAUUGUCUAUAUGGCUUAGCUCUCCUUCACUUGAUAUGUCAUCCUCGACUUCUUCAUGAUAGGAACCAGGAUAUUCUCUAAGAGAAACAUUAUUGCAAGGAUUUGAAUUAUCCCUGCUUGAAGGUCUCUUAUAGAACCAGAAGUCUAAACCAUCAGCAUCUAAAAGAUUUAAGGUUGGAACUCCUUCCUCUCUUGGAGAAUUUUGGGGUAUUGAUGGUUUAGGAUCGAUAGCUAAAGUUUGGGAUUGAAGUGGUUGUGAUCUGGCUAUCGAAACUUCUUCUUCUUGCCUAGGAACUGGUUCUUUCUCUUUCUCAGGGAUAUAAAAGCUAGGAGACUUUCCGCUCAUUAAAUCAAUCAAAUUCCAAGCUUCACUAGCGGAUAGGUGGUGGAAAGAUCCUCUAGAGGCCGCAUGAAGGGUUUGCUUAUCUUCCUUACUAAGGCCCUCAAAAAAGUGAAUUAGAAGAACUUCUUCUAGAAUAGAAAGUUUUGGGCCAGUGAGAGUAAGGUUAAUAAAGCGGUCCCAUGAUUUGCCAAGAGAUUCUUCUUCCAGUUGUCUAAAAGAAAGAAUCUCACACCGAAGUUCCACCACUUUGGAGAUUGGAAAAUAUUUAGAAAGAAAACUACUAUAUAACUCCUUCCAAUCUCCAUGAGCACUCCCUACUUUGAGGUUAUACCAAUGUCUAGCUUUUCCCGUUAAAGAGAACGGAAAGAGCUUCCAUUUAAGGGUCUCAUCGGACAUGCCUUCUAUGCGAAGGAGGUCACAGACUCGAUAAAACUCUCUUAGGUGUGUGUAUGGGUUUUCCUCACCUUCUCCUGAGAAAGGUUGUUUUUGAAUAAAUUCUAUGUAUUCGGGGUCUAUCUCAAAACUCGAUGCUAUGAUAGGCUUUGAAGAUUUUGGUGGUUCGAGAUGUGUGCCCAUAGGUCUAUGAAAUUCAUAGAUAGACAUGUUUGAAUUCAUAAUAGACCAGAGAUCAAGGAUUAGAUAAGAAGAAAGAAUAGCAGAGAUGAGGCAAAGGAUAAAAGGAAAAUAUUUUUUUUUUGUUAUAUAUUUUUUUUUAUAAAAUGAUUAAACUAGUUCGUAGUCAACUCAGCAACCGUUUCCCCGGCAACGGCGCCAAAAAUGCUUGUUGACACUUGCUAACACCACUUGAAUACUAGGUUGUCAUCCCCAGCAUGGCACUAGAGUGUACUAUGGUAUUUAUACGCAAACAGAUAAUCCGCAAGCGCACGGAUACCGUUGAAGCUUUUACCCGGUUAAAGGUUUUAUCGUAUCCACAGGGAAACGGGAGAACCAACUACGCUCUAACUUAACCAAGAUAGAUAGAUAGGUGUAAAUAGGAAAGUUGAUAGAAUCGAAUAAGAACAAUAUUAAAGGUAAGAUAACAGUGAGUGAUAAUAUGGGAAUAGAGAGUAGAGCAAUUCUAGUAUAUGGGCGAUGGUAGCAGAAUAGAGAGGAUAACUAUGGUUUCUCUACUUCAAAGGGGUAUGUCUAUGUCUGGGACGAACCACGUGAUAAGAGUACACCACAAAGGAUGCUUAUCCAUAGGCCGAUAAACCCUACCCGUCCUGCUAACGAGAGGUGGACUACAGGGGACCAACGUAACUGUCACCUACGCGGCCUACCACACGAUCCAGCUAGUCAGGGGAUAUCCACAAGUAAUCUAGGUCUAAGCACCACGCUUACACCUAUACUACAACUCUAACCUAUAGGGUCCUAUAGAUUAGAAGUACUCAAAAGAGUUGUGAACCAGAACAUACAUGAUUAGUAAUUGCAUAAUGAAUUAGAAGUAGAUUACCAGAGUCAUCCCAUGAGCAAGCUUGAUUAGAGCUUGAUCAUGGCGAAGUACAACCGAAGGAAGAACCGACAGGCCGGCCUCUCCUCUAAUCCUCCUUCGCUCUCCAUCUCGCUACUAUCUAGAUCUACUCUAGUUUAGAGAAGAGAGGAGAGCUCUCAUCUCUAAACCCUAGAUUUUGCUCUGUCUAUGAAUAAUGAAUAAUGAUCAAGGGGUGCCUCCUCCAGGGGCCAGGGGGUCUGGUUUUAUAGUCCCCUCAAGUGAACCUGGGCCGUCGGAUCAAACCGACAUUGAUUGAACGGUUAUUCUUGAUCCUUUAGGUCAGUGGAGCAUAAUCCGCGAGAUUGAGCGUGAUUGGCCACAGGAGGUGGGCGGGCGCCCAGUAGGACAGGGCGGGCGCCCUGUCUCUGGCCCCGUUUCGCCUCCGCUUCGGUCUCGUGGCUUCUGGAGUCUUCUAGAUGUAAGAUAAUUGUACGGCACGUUGAUAUCUCUAUGUAAUCCCGACGUGUGGGCCUUUCUUCCUUAUUUCCUGAUAACCCCCUACAGAAAUAGACAAACACCAAAACUCGUAGAAUUCUGUCAGAUAAAACCCUAAGUCUUGAUGUUGAUUUCAUUUGGAUCCUUUUCUUUGUUUAUUUGAUAGUUAAAUUUGAUACUUAAGGACCGUCAACAAACUCCCCCAAGCUUACCUCUUGCUCGUCCCUGAGAAUGGAUAGACUCAGCUAUGGAUCAUAAGUUGUUGCAAUAUCUUUAAAAAUUGACGGUACACAUGCUUUUAAAUGAAGUCUCAUCUCUGAGUUAGAGUAAACUGUCAAGACUUAAAACUUACUUACUUUACCUUUCACCAUGGGACUUGUAACCGUCACUUCUGUCUUGAGUGGUUAAAAGAUAGAACAGUCCCGUCAAGUGCCAUGUCUCUUAUUCUUGAUCAGCUAUAGCUCUGGAGUUUUUGUAGAUUUUCAAAUAAAACUCAGAGAUUCCUUUGUAUGACUCUCUCAUAUCUCUCUUUUGUGGUAUUUCUGGAUCCUUACCAAAGCAGUGAUGGUAUAUGCCUUCUCUCAAAAUAUGUGGUAUUUGUGGUAUAAGGCAUAGUGACAUUGCCUUCUCUCUCACCCUACUCUAAUAAGGCUUUAAUAUCUGGAGCUCAUAGGUGGGAGAUAAAGUAUACAUACUUACAAGACAUGUAUUGCAUAGUCAAACCAUGGAUCCAAAGAAACAAAUCAAUAAGCCAAAUCAAGAUGUGCAUGUGUGGCGAAUGAAUGGUGAUGAUGGUGAUAACAAUGGUGAAAGUCUAAUUCUACUUUUGCUCUUAUGAGGGGAUACAUACCUUCCUUGCUUUUUGAAACUUUAUGAGGAGAAUGAGAUGCUCUUCUUUUUGUUUCCUCUCAGGUGGGUAUCUUGUACCCCUAAUUCUACUGUCGGACACUUGUCCAUUUUUACCUCUCGUCUCACUUUUUCUUUCUUUCGAGGUUCCGGGCACUUGCCCCUUUUUAUUUCCUCGUUUAUUCUCAUUUUUUUUUCUUUUCUUCUCUUUUCUUCUUUUUUUUAGAGCACUCAUCUCCUGAAAUAAUGUAGCAAGUGGUAGUAACCAAAAUAACUAGAGCAUUUAUUUCACAGGGAAUAACAGGGAUAGGAAAAUGUUUUUGGUUAUUCUCUCCCGGAUUAGGAGUAGAAUGAUUUUGGGUGAAACUGGAGAUGGAAAUGGAUGGAUAUAUGCGGAUGGUACUUCCGGAGUAGAAGUAGCAUAUAUGAGUGAACGUGCAAGUGAAUCUUGAUUUAACCACAUGACAAGCUCCUAAGGGUCUACACAGCUUGACCACACUCAAUGCUCAUAAGCAGUAAAUAAAUGUGUGGCUCAAAGUCUAGCAAGCAUGUAUAUAUGGCUGUGGUAGGAAUUUAAACUUUCAUCAUACAGGAACUCAUCAUGCAAUAUUUUAAAGAUUUUUCAAAGAUAAAAUUCUCCAGAAUUCUAGCAUCUCUAGGAAUAGAUAAACAGCAGCUCAACCUUCCCAUAUCGUAUCCGUUAACAACUUAGACUUUAGAUCAAGUUUUCAUCCCACAAGUUUAGGUCUAGAGCAAGCUUUAAAUUAUAACAGUUAUAUCUAAACUUGAGAGAGAACUUAAAAUUUGCAAAUUAGGCAGAGCAGCUAUUCAUCAUAUCCAUGCUAGAGUUUUAUUAUUAAGAUUCAGAUUAGCAUAGCCACUUUAUUUAUUUAUUAAACACACUAAGCAAAAGAUAUAUAUAUAUAAGCACAAAAUCUUUAUUUGGUUUUUCAUAGUUUAUGUAUUUUAAUAUUAUAAUAUAAUAUAAGUAUAAAGAUAGGUAGAAAUACUUAGCGAGAUAAAUAGGGGUGCUCUCCCCCAAGCUGAAUUUUGAUGUAAUUUCUCUUAAUGUAGCUAGCAGGUGGCAGAGGUGUAUUUGAAAGUCAGCAGCAUUCUGACAGCGAUUAGAAUGUCCUCCAUCUGCUAGUCUUCUUGAUUCUUAAAUUCUGUGGAGCUCAAAUAGACAACAAAGCUUGUGGAACUAAUUAAGUGUUAGCAUAAAUAUCUAGCCUUCAUCACGUUGAGCUUCCUCAAUAAAUAUUACUCCCUGUUUUUAUAUUUUUAUUUUAUAAAGUAGAAAAGAAAUAUUUAUUUUAUUUUUAUGCCACCACAGUGAAGGUACUUAUGGGUUUUAUGCCAUUCGUAUACUCACAUGGGGCUUAGUAUUUUUUUAACAUUUUUAUUUUCUUUUCAAGAUAGCAUGAUUAACUAAUAAUCUAUUUAAGGAAAGUAAAUAAUUAAAUGGAAAAGGGAAUGCAGAAAGGAUAAAUAUGGAUAACUACCAAUCUUACCACUCCGCGAGGGUUCAAUGUUUUAAGUCUUCUUGUCAAGACUUCUCAUCGUGUUCAUUCUUCAGGUGCGUCAUUUGAUUCAGGUGCGGACCUUGACGUCUGCACCUUUUAAUACGGUGUCACCCAUGUUCUUCGUUUGCCCAGCAGUUCGAAUUGCGGUGUUAGCAGUAUCUUGCUCAGCGUGUUUGUGCUCGUAGUGUACCUGCUCAUAGAGACAAGGCAGAGAUCAAGUGCAUGGGCCCUGUUGGUGGAAAACACCAACAGAACCAAAAGUGUAUUUGUUCUUCUCUAACCUUAAGCAUAGUGAGCUAGACAAAGUUGAUGGAUAAUAAGUUCAUGAGUGUAGCACUUAUAACAUUUGUCAGAUCAGAUCACUCAACCUUAUGGAAAGAUAAUCUAUUUAUGUAUAUGUCUUUUUCUUUAUAUCUCUCAAUGAUUGAAUGUGUAACAUUUUAGCUCAUAUGAUUAGGAGUGUGGGAUCAUGGUGGUAGUACUAAGAACAAGGAUUAAAGGACUAAACAUGUUUAUUCAGAUGGGUUGGUUAAUCUAGAGUUGUAAAUCAUACACGUUUGUCUCUUUUAUUUAUAUGAACGCCAGAACUAAGGAGAAGCUUAUAAAAGUGAUAGUCAAGUACCUUAAGAUGUUACCUUGCUCGAAGAGUGAUGGUACAGUAUCAUCUUGUGGAAGCUUUCCUUUCUUAGCGGUUGUGCGUCGUGUUUGUGGCACCCUCCAUGGAUCAUCUCUCUAUGAUGAAUGAGCUAUGUCCUUCUUGUGCAAAUUGUUAAACUUCAUGUGUCACUCUCUUCGUCUCUGAUGUGAGUUUAUCUCAGGACUUCCCAAAUCGAUAUUGAAAGUUUUUCUGUGAGGGUUAGUCCGACAAAAUAUACCAAUAUCUACUCAAGCAGUUUUUUUUUAGUUCAAUAACCAAACUAGACUCCAUGUCUAAUCAGAUUAAGGAAGGCUAUUUAACCUAAGCACCAUGCUUAAUUUAAAUGCCAAUGGAAGUAUGGCGAGUACUUCCAAACCAACACUUGCUAGUAAAUAGACAAAGGUAGCAUGACAGCGUUUAUAGAGAUCUACUCAAGUGGAGAUGAAGUAGUGUGAUUAGUAUUUAACAAAUUGAGCAUGUCUCAAAGGUAGGGACAACCAGCAUAGCAACAUGGCAA